UUAGAUUUAUUUUCUACAUGCUAACACUGGGCCCUCCUAAGUCACCAUUUGUCAAUAAAAAAUCAAUCAUAGAGAUCCUAAUUAUACUGCCAAAACUGAAUCUUUGAACUAUAUGUAAGUUUUAUUAAACCUAAAGCAAUAGAAAUAUUUUAUGAAUUAUUCUAUGUUUCAAGAAACUGUUCUAUAGAAUAAUAUAUUCACUUAUUACUAUAUUUGCCUUUACAAUGUAAGAAAGAAAAAGCUCAGUUCACAAACUCUAGCAAAAGGAUUAGAUCAGCUCUAAGAGUUCAUCUGGGGGCACUAUUAAUAAGGAAGAAAUAUUUUUAAAUUUUUGUUAUUAGACCUCAAAAUAGAAUGGCAGACCUACAAACACUUAAAACCAUGUAGGGUUCUGAUUAUUCCUCUUUUCUAAAGUGCACACCUUAAAUUAUUAACUUUUAAGUUAUUCAUUACACCUUAAAAAUUCAGUUGAGCAUGUUCUCAUAAAACAAAAGGAAUAUUUCAGAGUCUGGUUUCAACAAGAUGUGAUUUAGGGAACCUCUCAAAGAACAGUGUGGGGAAAGAGAUUCUAAGAUAUAUAGCUGGCUUCUUCUGAACCCUAAAUAUGGAGAAACCAGAACAGCUCAUCCAGCUUCUCUGCCCCCUUGUCUCCUUUGUGAUAUGCUGAAGGUUUUAUAAACACAAGGUUGGAGUGGAAUCAGCUAAGGUUUCAAAGGGCAGGCUAUUUCUUACUCUAUUUUUGUUAGGACUUUGAUCUUAUCUCUUCUGCUUAUACCAAACCAAGCUUCUGUUUCCCCAACAGCUACCCCAGUUGAGGAGCUGAGGAGAACUAUUUUUACUGGAGAGACCCUGACUAGACGCAAUGUUCUCUUAACACUGUUUAUCAAAGGAACCAAUAUGAAAGGAAAGACAUUGCUUUGAAGAGAAGAUGGAUGGAUCUCUUAGUAAGCUACAGUCUGAGGUGCAAUUUCCUAAAGUUCAAAUGCCUGAAAAAGGAAAUGAAAGAAAGAAACUGAACUCUUGAGAAAGUUUUAAUGCCAGCUUUGAUCUCAAUUACAGAGUUAUUUAUGAAAAGUGCAUGUUUACAACCAAUAACAAAUUAGGAUCAAAAGCUUCUAGAGGAUAUACUAUGGAGUGCUUAAUAAAAAGUUGAGUAAAGAGUAAUGAAUGGCUUUG
rnacentral:lncRNA from 13 species